rnacentral:rRNA from 1 species
GGUGAACGCUGGCGGCGUGCCUAAGACAUGCAAGUCGAGCGGGCCGCGGGGUUUUACUCCGUGGUCAGCGGCGGACGGGUGAGUAACGCGUGGGUGACCUACCCGGAAGAGGGGGACAACCCGGGGAAACUCGGGCUAAUCCCCCAUGUGGACCCGCCCCUUGGGGUGUGUCCAAAGGGCUUUGCCCGCUUCCGGAUGGGCCCGCGUCCCAUCAGCUAGUUGGUGGGGUAAUGGCCCACCAAGGCGACGACGGGUAGCCGGCCUGAGAGGGUGGCCGGCCACAGGGGCACUGAGACACGGGCCCCACUCCUAGGGGAGGCAGCAGUUAGGAAUCUUCCGCAAUGGGCGCAAGCCUGACGGAGCGACGCCGCUUGGAGGAAGAAGCCCUUCGGGGUGUAAACUCCUGAACCCGGGACGAAACCCCCGACGAGGGGACUGACGGUACCGGGGUAAUAGCGCCGGCCAACUCCGUG